rnacentral:lncRNA from 1 species
CACCUUUUCUGUCCUCUCGAGUUUUUAUCCCACCCGCGCCCCUUAGAUUGUCCUCUCACAUCCUCCUCACUCUGUUCUACCCGUACCACCCCCAUCCUUCCCCACGGCUCCCCACUCCAACACCGCAACACCUUCAAUUCCUCCCCCGGUCACCUCCGUGAGCGCGCAGGAUAACCCCACGCUUACGGCCUACCUUCACCGCUCCACUCCGUCGCGCCAUUGCCGACGCCGCAACCUGCAACAAAAACUCACUACACACACACACCACACCAAACAGCUCAAUUUUUACCGUACCUCCCGUUUCCAUCUUCCUUCUUCCUGCCGAUCGCGUCGUCCGUCCACGGCCUCCUUCCCUCUCCCUUCUCGCUCCCCUCCGCCCCGACUCUCUUCUCUCUCCUUCUGGAACUUUCCUCUUCUUCUUCGUCUCCGCUACCCUCCUUCCCUCCUUUUCUCUUUUUCUCUCUUUUUUUUUUCUCCUUUUCUUUUCCUUUUCUUUUUUUUCCUCUUCUCCCUUUCCCGACCUCCCUUUAUACUCUGCCAGCCUACCCCAACACGACGUCGUUUUCCUUCAUCCCAAAACGACGUCGUUUUCUUUUCUUUCAAAACGACGUCGUUUUUCC